AUUGAACGCUGGCGGCAGGCCUAACACAUGCAAGUCGGACGGUAGCACAGGGGAGCUUGCUCCUCGGGUGACGAGUGGCGGACGGGUGAGUAAUGUCUGGGGAUCUGCCCGAUAGAGGGGGAUAACCACUGGAAACGGUGGCUAAUACCGCAUAAUGUCGCAAGACCAAAGAGGGGGACCUUCGGGCCUCUCACUAUCGGAUGAACCCAGAUGGGAUUAGCUAGUAGGCGGGGUAACGGCCCACCUAGGCGACGAUCCCUAGCUGGUCUGAGAGGAUGACGAGCCACACUGGAACUGGGACACGGUCCAGACUCCUACGGGAGGCAGCAGUGGGGAAUAUUGCACAAUGGGCGCAAUCCUGAUGCAGCCAUGCCGCGUGUAUGAAGAAGGCCUUCGGGUUGUAAAGUACUUUCAGCGGGGAGGAAGGCGAUGUGGUUAAUAACCGCGUCGAUUGACGUUACCCGCAGAAGAAGCACCGGCUAACUCCGUGCCAGCCGCCGCAGUAA
rnacentral:rRNA from 1 species